rnacentral:rRNA from 1 species
UUUAAAGAGAGUUUGAUCCUGGCUCAGGACGAACGCUGGCGGCGUGCCUAAUACAUGCAAGUCGAACGAACGGAGGAAGAGCUUGCUCUUCCAAAGUUAGUGGCGAACGGGUGAGUAACACGUGGGCAACCUGCCUGUAAGUUGGGGAUAACUCCGGGAAACCGGGGCUAAUACCGAAUGAUAAAGUGUGGCGCAUGCCA